rnacentral:rRNA from 1 species
AGCGAACGCUGGCGGCAGGCCUACACAUGCAAGUCGAACGAAGUCUUCGGACUUAGUGGCGGACGGGUGAGUAACACGUGGGAACGUGCCUUUAGGUUCGGAAUAACUCAGGGAAACUUGUGCUAAUACCGAAUGUGCCCUUCGGGGGAAAGAUUUAUCGCCUUUAGAGCGGCCCGCGUCUGAUUAGCUAGUUGGUGAGGUAAAGGCUCACCAAGGCGACGAUCAGUAGCUGGUCUGAGAGGAUGAUCAGCCUCAUUGGGACUGAGACACGGCCCAAACUCCUACGGGAGGCAGCAGUGGGGAAUCUUGCGCAAUGGGCGAAAGCCUGACGCAGCCAUGCCGCGUGAAUGAUGAAGGUCUUAGGAUUGUAAAAUUCUUUCACCGGGGACGAUAAUGACGGUACCCGGAGAAGAAGCCCCGGCUAACUUCGUGCCAGCCGCCGCAGUAA